rnacentral:rRNA from 1 species
GGACAGUGUCUGGUGGGUAGUUUGACUGGGGCGGUCUCCUCCUAAAGAGUAACGGAGGAGCACGAAGGUUGGCUAAUCCUGGUCGGACAUCAGGAGGUUAGUGCAAUGGCAUAAGCCAGCUUGACUGCGAGCGUGACGGCGCGAGCAGGUGCGAAAGCAGGUCAUAGUGAUCCGGUGGUUCUGAAUGGAAGGGCCAUCGCUCAACGGAUAAAAGGUACUCCGGGGAUAACAGGCUGAUACCGCCCAAGAGUUCAUAUCGACGGCGGUGUUUGGCACCUCGAUGUCGGCUCAUCACAUCCUGGGGCUGAAGUAGGUCCCAAGGGUAUGGCUGUUCGCCAUUUAAAGUGGUACGCGAGCUGGGUUUAGAACGUCGUGAGACAGUUCGGUCCCUAUCUGCCGUGGGCGCUGGAGAACUGAGGGGGGCUGCUCCUAGUACGAGAGGACCGGAGUGGACGCAUCACUGGUGUUCGGGUUGUCAUGCCAAUGGCACUGCCCGGUAGCUAAAUGCGGAAGAGAUAAGUGCUGAAAGCAUCUAAGCACGAAACUUGCCCCGAGAUGAGUUCUCCCUGAGACUUUAAGUCUCCUGAAGGAACGUUGAAGACGACGACGUUGAUAGGCCGGGUGUGUAAGCGCAGCGAUGCGUUGAGCUAACCGGUACUAAUGAACCGUGAGG